AUAUUUCUGACAAAUACAGAGAAAAGUGAUUUAUAUGAUUUAAUAUUUUCAUAAAUACAGUUAUGUACCUUUGAAAUUAUGGUGAACAUAAUAACCUUUUCAACAUAUGUACAAUACUUUGUCAGUAUGGUGUCAUUACAUAGAAAUUUUAAUCCAAUUUUGGCUAUAAUUUUAUACUUUUUGGCAGAGUUUAUAUCUUUGUAAUGUGUAUUCACUAGUUAGAGGCUACAGGCUCAUUGUAAUUUUGUGUGUCAGUAUAGUGUGUGUGUGUGUGUAUGAUCACAAGGUAUGAGAUUAAUGAUCAUAAUGCUUUUUUUUGUCUCUCUCUCUCUGGAUUUACUAGGUAAAGGUCAAAGUUCAUUGUGUCUCAGUGUAGUGUAUGUUCACUAGCCAGAGGCUACAAGUCCAUCAUGAUUUUGCCUCUCAGUAUAGUGUAUGUUACUAGCCAGAGGCUGUAAGUCCAUCAUGAUUUUGCCUCUCAGUGUAGUGGAUGUUUACUAGCCAGAGGCUACAAGUCCAUCAUGAUUUUGCCUCUCAGUAUAGUGUAUGUUACUAGCCAGAGGCUGUAAGUCCAUCAUGAUUUUGCCUCUCAGUGUAGUGGAUGUUUACUAGCCAGAGGCUGUAAGUCCAUCAUGAUUUUGUCUCACUAUAGAGUGUGAUUUAUGACAUAGAAGGUUAAAGUACAUCAUGCUUUUGUCUCUCAUUGUAAUGUAUAUUCACUAGUCAGAGGCUUCAAGUUUAUCAUGAUUUUGUCUCUCACUGUAGUAAGUAUUCACUAGGUAAAAGUCUAAAGUUCAUCAUAUUUUUAAAUCUCCAUCUUUAAUAUAGGUAUCAUUGAUUCUUCAAAGGUGUAAUUUGAUAAUUCUAGCUUAUUUAGAUAAUUUAGGCUAUACAUAUGGCAGUGUUUUGUUUGUUUGUUAAAGCUCUAUGUAAAUUUAUUAGAAUCAAAUUUAAAGGCCCUUUAACAUUUAAACUUUAUGUUAUGGCUUGUAGCCGGUUUUUUAAGUAAACAUGUAUUUUAUUAAACUAAGAGCACCUAGUAGAAAUUCUCAUUUACAGGAUGAUGUAAGCCUGAAUAAAGAAAUGUAAUGAAUGAUUGAAAAGUAGUCGUGAAAAAAUAAAUAAAAUUAUAGUUUCCAAAAUUCAAAAUGUAAGUUUACUUGGAAAUAGUUUUUUUAUUAAAGAUUUAAUCUGUAGUUUUAUUGCUGACUGUUAAUGAAUAAAAACUUGUAAUAACCUAUGUAAUAACUUCUACAGUUGUACUAGUGUGGGCCAAUUUAUGUGAAUUAGUGCAUUCUUCAGUGUUGAAUCAAAGAUACUUGAAAGUUUGAGCAAAUAUUUCACUUUAUGAGUUAUACAGAGGUAAAUAACACAGAGAUAAUUUUAUGAAUAUAUAGAGAAAUGCUUAAAAACAAUUCAUUCAUUGUAAACUUAAAGAGUUUUUGGCUUUUAAUUUUGAGUUUGUUACUCCAUGCACUUGAAGACACUGAAUGAUUAAUACAUGAAAAUAUUCAAAUGAGCAUUGAGCCUACUUUACCCUCCCUCACAAAGUUUCAUUUUUUCUAUGACUUAUGCAUUCAAAAUUUUGUUGAAAGGAUGAAUUCUAAGCUCUUUAAUUGUAAGUUAAGAUUUGUAUGAAUGUACCUAAAGAGAAGGUGUUUUGAGCUAAUUUAACAAAAAUAUUUAUUAGAAGAAUUGUUAAAUCUAUGAAUUAAAGUGAAAGACUGUUUGAUAAAUAUAAUGGCUUACUGGUAUAGAAAUGAACUAAUGGCCAUUGGAAAAUUACAUGUAAUUUUUAACUCUAGUGUACAAGCUUCAUACUGUUUAAAGUCAGGAAUUGAUGACUGAUAAGAUUUAUGUUUAUGAGUUGAGUUUACAGACCAGGUUUUUUUUGUAAUUUGAAUGUUAAAUGGUUCAUAAUUGACUAAAAUAUUGUCACAAAUUAAAACAAAACGGUUUGUUAAUGCCUUCAAGCUUGCUGCUAAAUAAUGUAUUCCUGCUUUUGAAGGAGAUGGCACAUGUAUGUUAGGAGUCAUUCAGGUACGAAUCUAAGCUUCUGUGCAGACACUUGAAUAUUUAAGUAUUCCAGCAAUCUUAUUCAGUUAAGGAAAGAAUGAAAAAUUCACCAUAUGUGAAAAAACGUUUUCCAACAAAAACUAACCAUAAAUUCUACAUGGGAUAGUUGCUUUGUUUCUCUUAAUAUUUUAUUUUUUUAUUUUAACCCUAGAAUAAUUAAUGGGCCCCAUGGACCCCAUUAGCUUUUUAAACUACUUAUGAAGUACACUGUUGUGGGUCUACGAUUUAUUAUUGUAUUACGACAUAGUCCCUAAUAACAUAAAAAGUUGAAGAAUAAUACACCAAUAUUGUAAUUAAUACUGUCAAUUAAUUCUGAAGUGAUGAAUGAUGAAAGACAAUAGACCCUUAGAAUUCCAAAUGUACAUGUCUUUAAAAACCAUUGUCUAUGAGCAGAAAUAAUAAAACACAGGUACACAUAGCUUUUUGUGUUUAUACUCACCCUUGUACACACUUUCCCUAUGAAAUAUUUAGAUUGAGUAAUCUAAUUCUAACUAGCUUAAGCAUUAAGUUAUAUUAACUUAUAUAAGGACAUAAUGUUUGCCUAACACCAUACAGUUUCAACAUUAUUAGGUACCUUGAAACCAGCUGAUGUAAAAAAAAAACUAGCAGUAUUUAAAUAACAAAUCUGAACUUUUACUCAUGAUAAAAAAGUUGUGAAACAUAUCCUUGGUUUUUAUGUCAUGUUUGUAUAUGCAAUCUUUCCUGGAACCUCUUUCACCUAGGUUUUUUUUUAAGUUUUGUUCAGUUUUUGUUUCUUUUUUUUUUACUUACUGUAAUUUUCAAUUUAUUAUAUACAAAUCAACUUUAUAUUUUUGUUAUAAAAUUACUGCAAGUUUGUUAACCUCUAGUACUCAUAUUAAAUGUAAAACUCAGUUCCCAGUGGUUAUUAUAUACUACCUGUAUGUAACUUGUUAUUUGUUAUUUAAAAUAGUUUUAUUUGAACAUGUUUCAUGAACUGUAUUAUACCUGAAUAGAGUCCAGUAUCUAACAAUAUAUAAAUAGAUAAAUACAAACAUUGGAGUACAACUAAUUGCAAUCAGUUACAAUACUCUGAGUUGUUGAAGUAUAUUAACACCAUUAGCUUCUUGAAAGUCUUUAUGAAACCUGGUGAACUGUCAUUUGUACACACUAAUUAAGAGCAGUUUGUAAUAUCUUGUUAUAUCAGAGACUGAUAAAAAAACUUCUAUUAAUUCCAAAUUGUAGUGUAGGUAGAGUUGAAAAUGAUGUUAUGGUGUUCAACAAACUAUGGUUAUCUUUCAAGAUUAAAUUGAGAAAAAAGAACAAUUUUGUAAUAGUCCUUAUGUGCAGUUGGGUGAGGUUUUUAUAACAGUUGUGAUGUGAAGUUAAAUGAGUACUUGGCAGUAGUUCUAAUGUGCAGUUAAAUGGGAAACCGGUGGAUUUGUUGAAAGAUAAUUUGUAAAGGUUUUGAUGUUCUAGAAAACUAUGAUUAACUUGUCUUUGGCUUUAUAUAUUUACAUUGUUGUAAAAAAAUGUGAUAUCAGUUAGUGAAGUUGUAACAUACUUCUACAUUUGGUGUGUUUCUGCUUAGCAUUGCAGCUUCUUGAGAAAAUAAAGAAAUUUAAAAAUUAA
rnacentral:lncRNA from 1 species